GCGGGAGGAGGGUCCUUCAGGCCGGGCAGGGCCGUGACGGGAGGCCGCGGGGGCGGGCUGGGCCCGGAGCCCCGUCCCUCCGCGGCCCGGGAAGGGGAGCGCCAGGCCGGUUGAGGAACGGAACGCCCUCGCCACCAACGAGGGAAAACUCCGUGACGGCGUCCUGGUCUUAAGCUCCAGGAAGGCGGGCUGUGGCGGCGGGGCACAGCCCUACGCCCAACGGGAGGUCUUGCUGCGCUUUGACGACGGACACCCACGCGUGGCCCUGCGUGCUGUAGGAGGAUGGCGUCCCGUGGCCGUGUGGCAAGGGAGACAACCGGAGGUACCGUCUCGGAAGGGAUGCAGCCCCCAAGUAAAAUGCCUGUGUGAGGGGUUUCCAUCCCACGCCGAGGUCCAGCUGUGCCGAUGCCACACACGGAGGAGCUCACAAGGCGCAGAACAGGCACCACCGGUGGGAUUCUUGCUGAAGAGACACGGCCGUGGAAACCACUGCUGCUGUGCUGUAUAGAAAGCUGUGCGCUGUUCCAAACUGCUGAUCGUCACCUGCCAGUCAGGAUUAGGUCAGGUGCUGCCCCAAAACAGGUUAAAAAUAAGCACGUGCGAGAAUGCUGAUCAGCUUGGGCAGGGGCAGAGGUGGCUGCAGAGGAGCUGGGUUUCCCCAGGCCAUGGUGCUGCACAUGGUCCAUCCUCUCAGCACAGGGCUGUUGGGUGCACACCCAGGUGUGCGUUCACACAGGUAUUUCACAUAUCUGCUAAUUACGUGUGCCCCAUUGAGAGAAACAGCUGCACGAUUCUAAGCAUCUGCUUACAUGGUUAAAAUAUGAGAGAAAAGCAUACUUACUUGCCUGGGGUGCUGUGCAGUUUAAAAAUAUUAAUUAGAACUAUGAUCCUCAUUUGCCCAUAAGCUCAUGAGUGUAAUUUUAAACACACAGCUAGUUAAACAAAUACUUUCAAAUGUGUCUACAAUCAAACCAUUCCACAGAGCUACUCUCACGGCACCACAUCUUGUGUAAAAUUAAUCCACUCAGUAGAAAGUUUCGGAGUCAGGGAAAUAGAGAAAAAGACCAAAUUAAAGCAGAUGAGAAAGAAAAGGCAGAGGUGGAUGAGAAGUGCCAAGCUGAAACUCUUCCAGUGCUGUGGGGAUGGCAGAUCCUUUCUGGAGUGUCUGCGGGGAGCAGGUCGCGCGGGGCGUAGGAGGCACGUCACAGGCGGAGCAGGGACUCGGGUUCCCUUUCCCUGAUUCUUCCUCAUUAUGGAGAAGCUGCGGCCGAGGGGUGGGAGGGCCCGUGCCUGAGCCCCCGAACCACCACGGGUCACCAAAGGACAUUCCUCAGCGUGCCCUGGUGCUGCUUCCUGCCUUCUUAUUUCUACAGUUCAGAGUGUGGCUACAGUCACGUCUUGGGGGUUCGGGUGACCCUUGUCCUCGCGGCACUACAGACUCGGGCCUUGUCUUAGCAGGCCUUUGAUGGAAUUAUAGUAAUUGUAAUUCACGUUUGUCUGUCGCUCUGCAUCUUAAUGGAUGCCUAAUGGAUGAUGGGCCCCGGGAUCAAUAGUAUCACGUCUUGUCUACUCGGGAUGAGAGAACUGGAUGUUAAAAUAAAUACUUCUACUAUGCUAAAGAUGCACAAACAAUAAGCAGAUCGAUACAAACGGGGUUUACCUCGGGUGAGGUGGCCUCGUGCCCACACAGGGACCAGGCUGCUCUGCGGACACAGCUUCACGUGUCUGGCCGCUUUUUAAGUAGCACAAUAAAUCACAGAACAUUUUCCACAACUAAAUUCUUCCUAAUCUAACCAGACAAUUCUUAAACCUUUAAUGGGCCCAUGAUGGUAAAAUCAUUUUGUCUGGGUUUUUGAGCAGUAAUCUUCAAAUUACGGGUCUGUAACAGCAAUAAUGGAACGUGUCAUAAAAGAGUUUUUCCUCAGUGAGUCUAGUAUUGUAAUAAAAUAAUGUACCCAGUCACCUCUACAUUCUGCAUUAACCCUUUUUAUGAUAAUUAUGAGUAAAGUGCAUCUCUCACUUCCAUUAAAUAAUGUCCUUGCAUCUCACUGACGCAGCAGACUUCACAGGACUGGAAGCAAAGCGAGAGAUGCACAGUCUUUUUUAGCAGAUUCUGUCCAUGUCUCUAACUUGUUCUUGAGAUAAAACCUACUCAGUUUGAGAAUUACUUUUAUGCUUCAGUGUUUAUGCAAGACAAACUUGAAAUUCUGA